CCUACGGGGUGCUGCAGUGGCGAAUAUUGGACAAUGGGCGAAAGCCUGAUCCAGCCAUGCCGCGUGUGUGAAGAAGGCCUUCGGGUUGUAAAGCACUUUCAGUGGGGAAGAAAGCCUUGGGGCUAAUACCCUCGAGGAAGGACAUCACCCACAGAAGAAGCACCGGCUAACUCCGUGCCAGCAGCCGCGGUAAUACGGAGGGUGCGAGCGUUAAUCGGAAUUACUGGGCGUAAAGCGCGCGUAGGCGGUCUGAUAAGCCGGUUGUGAAAGCCCCGGGCUCAACCUGGGAACGGCAUCCGGAACUGUCAGGCUAGAGUGCAGGAGAGGAAGGUAGAAUUCCCGGUGUAGCGGUGAAAUGCGUAGAGAUCGGGAGGAAUACCAGUGGCGAAGGCGGCCUUCUGGACUGACACUGACGCUGAGGUGCGAAAGCGUGGGUAGCAAACAGGAUUAGAUACCCUUGUAGUC
rnacentral:rRNA from 1 species